GAUGAACGCUGGCGGCGUGCCUAAUACAUGCAAGUCGAGCGAACAGACGAGGAGCUUGCUCCUCUGACGUUAGCGGCGGACGGGUGAGUAACACGUGGAUAACCUACCUAUAAGACUGGGAUAACUUCGGGAAACCGGAGCAAUACCGGAUAAUAUAUUGAACCGCAUGGUUCAAUAGUGAAAGACGGUUUUGCUGUCACUUAUAGAUGGAUCCGCGCCGCAUUAGCUAGUUGGUAAGGUAACGGCUUACCAAGGCAACGAUGCGUAGCCGACCUGAGAGGGUGAUCGGCCACACUGGAACUGAGACACGGUCCAGACUCCUACGGGAGGCAGCAGUAGGGAAUCUUCCGCAAUGGGCGAAAGCCUGACGGAGCAACGCCGCGUGAGUGAUGAAGGUCUUCGGAUCGUAAAACUCUGUUAUUAGGGAAGAACAAAUGUGUAAGUAACUAUGCACGUCUUGACGGUACCUAAUCAGAAAGCCACGGCUAACUACGU
rnacentral:rRNA from 1 species